rfam:Enterococcus sp. 9D6_DIV0238 scaffold00002, whole genome shotgun sequence.
AAGAAAAUUACGGGAGAGACUGACUGACAGCACCGAAGGAAUAAAUAAUAAUUGGCGCACCCUUUAUUAUGAAGAUCUCAGGUAAACGGACCGUAAUUGGACA